GGGAGCCCAGACCCCGACGGCCGGCCUCACCUGGGACACCCGGCGUGUGGCCGCAUGACUCACCCGCUGGGACAGCCUUCGGGGCUGUGAGGAGGAAAGUUCUCUGUGGACAGCGGGUGCUGAGAAAGCUUCCCAGAUAUUCCUCUUGCCUCACCCUUGUGCUUGCCUGAUGGAGGUGAAACUGCUAUGAACAUUGUGUCAAGUCUUGGCAUGGAUGGUCCACAGAAGAUCCUGUGCGUGGCCUGCAUUUUGAGAAACACAACAAAGUAGCAAAGCCUUGGUUUUCCUGAGUGUCCUCGGAGGUGGGUCCUGUCACAGCCCAAGGGGUCUCUGCACCCCAGUCAUUUCCUCCUCUUCAAGGAGACAUCUGACAUCCCUCCUGCUGUGUAAGUCAGCAAGGAAGAUGCACUUCAAAGGAGAUUCCACAGCCCAUUCAAUAGAGAAUAACUCUGC